CGCAGCGCUCCCCCCCCACCCC
rnacentral:miRNA from 1 species